UUUCAAUUUUAUAAAAAUAAAUCAUUUUCAUUCUUUACAAAAAAAAAAAAAAAAAAAAAAUUUUUUUUUUUUUUUUUUUUUUGUAAAGAAUGAAAAUGAUUUAUUUUUAUAAAAUUGAAAAGAUCCAAAGAUUGAUCUAUGAG
rnacentral:ribozyme from 1 species